AUCCUCUUCAAGAAUGAAGGAUAAACCACAACCUGAGAUGCUUUCCCAGAUGAUGGCUAAGAGGAUUGGACUGGAAGCAGGACCAAUGGUGUGAAGUGGCUAGAGAUUUAUCUCUUCUGCCCUCUGCAAGUCAUAUAGAGAAACUGAACCUCAGAGAGAGGAGAAAGAAAGGCUCCAGGUCAUAAACUAGCCUAGCAGAACCAGGCCAGACCCUCUUGACUCUUGGCUCC